rnacentral:piRNA from 1 species
ACUGCAGUAUAAGCACUUCUGGC